GCCGCCGCCGCCGAGUCGGCGGGACCCGGACCCGAGCAGCCUCCCCCCGCCGCAGCCGGAGGCCCGGCCAAGCUGACCCGCUUCGCGGAGGCCGGCGGAGCCCACGAGCGCCACGGAGGGGAGGCGGCGGCCGCCUGCGACAGGCCCAUCGGCCCGCAGCUCAAGCUGCUGCCCAUGAACGACCAGAUCCGGGAGCUGCAGACCAUCAUCCGCGACAAGACAGCCAGUAGAGGGGACUUCAUGUUUUCUGCGGAUCGCUUGAUCAGACUUGUGGUGGAGGAAGGGUUGAAUCAGCUGCCUUAUACAGAAUGCACAGUGACCACUCCAACAGGGUACAAAUAUGAAGGUGUAAAAUUUGAGAAAGGAAACUGCGGAGUCAGCAUCAUGAGAAGUGGCGAGGCGAUGGAACAAGGCCUGCGGGACUGUUGCCGAUCCAUACGCAUCGGCAAGAUCCUGAUCCAGAGCGACGAGGAGACGCAGAGAGCCAAAGUGUACUAUGCCAAGUUCCCCCCCGACAUCUACCGAAGAAAAGUCCUCCUGAUGUACCCAAUUCUAAGCACUGGGAACACCGUGAUCGAGGCGGUGAAGGUUCUCAUAGAGCACGGCGUCCAACCCAGCGUCAUCAUCCUGCUCAGCCUCUUCUCCACCCCCCACGUGUGGCAUUUCCUCCUGAUUUGAGAAGGGGACCCCGAACUAAGCCCUGAAGGACUCGCACGGUUAGAGGUGGGAAGCGGAGGAGGAGCCCCCCAGAGAGAACGGGAGAGGACAGUGUUUCAGGAGGAAGGGUGUGGCUGAAGGCAGCUGAGGAGAAUUAGGAUGGGAGAGAAACUCCUGAAUUUGCCAAGGAGAUCACUGGUCAGCGCUCAGCACCUAGUAAGCGCCUAACGAACGCCAUCGUCGUCAUUGGUGCCAAAUCCAUCGUCCAGGAGUUCCCAGAUAUCACCAUCUUAACCACAGAGGUUCACCCCGUGGCUCCGACGCACUUCGGACAGAAGUAUUUUGGAACGGACUGAGUUACGUGAGGGAAGCCGGGGUGGAACCGGGUAACGUUGGCAACAGCGGGCUCCGUCUCUGCUCGCCUUACGGUUUCGCUCGGGGAUGGAGAUGGGAGACUGAGGCAGGCCAAGGCCGAAGGGGAACCUCUCAAGAGCCGUUUUCACUUUUUGGGGAUCAUUCCCUGACCGUCGGAACCACGUGCAAUAACGAGGCGCUCCGAGGCAGCUUGAACGAUACGCUUACGCCCAUCGCCGGACCCUGUGCUCCGAUUGACUUAUUUCUCCCAUCUCCACGCUGCCUCGUGACGGCGGCUGCUCGCAGCUCCGAAAUAAAACCAAAACAAGAAGCGUU